GACGAACGCUGGCGGCGUGCUUAACACAUGCAAGUCGAACGAAGUGGCGAACGGGUGAGUAAUACGUGGGUAACCUGCCCUCCUUUUUGGGAUAAGCCUUGGAAACGGGGUCUAAUACCGAAUAAAGGGGGAUGGGCUCGCGGCCUAUCAGCUUGUUGGGGGGGUGAUGGCCUACCAAGGCGGUGCCGGGUAGCCGGCCUGAGAGGGUGACCGGCCAAGUUGGGACUGAGAUACGGCCCAGACGCCUACGGGAGGCAGGGGUGGGGGAUAUUGCACAAGGGGCGAAAGCCUGAUGCAGCUACGCGGCGUGGGGGAUGACGGUCUUCGGAUUGUAAACUUCUAUAGACAGGGACGGUACCUGUAGAAUAAGCCACGGCUAACUACGUGCCAGCAGCCGCGGUAAUUC
rnacentral:rRNA from 1 species